UGGAAUCGGAUGCUGUGUAGCUUGGAUUGGAAAGCUCGCACUCAUUGAAUUUGGAGAGGGAGGAAACGAGCGGAGGAUUUUGUGAUGCUGUGCUGCCGGUGCCUGCUCUGCUAUGCUUCUUGCUUCCUUGCCGAGAGAAAGCGCUCGGAAUGGGAGGAGCGGGAGAAGGCAAUAUGGUCAUUUUGCAGUGUGUCGUGGGGAAAGCCGCAUUUUCACCGCGGGCAAUAAGCAAAUUCGAUGAGUAAGAAUGUGUUGUGUAC
rnacentral:lncRNA from 1 species